rnacentral:rRNA from 1 species
CCUACGGGGGGCUGCAGUGGGGAAUAUUGGACAAUGGGGGCAACCCUGAUCCAGCCAUGCCGCGUGUGUGAAGAAGGCCCUCGGGUUGUAAAGCACUUUCAGUGAGGAAGAACGCCUGGUGGUUAAUACCCAUCAGGAAAGACAUCACUCACAGAAGAAGCACCGGCUAACUCCGUGCCAGCAGCCGCGGUAAUACGGAGGGUGCGAGCGUUAAUCGGAAUUACUGGGCGUAAAGCGCACGUAGGUGGCUUGAUAAGCCGGUUGUGAAAGCCCCGGGCUCAACCUGGGAACGGCAUCCGGAACUGUCAAGCUAGAGUGCAGGAGAGGAAGGUAGAAUUCCCGGUGUAGCGGUGAAAUGCGUAGAGAUCGGGAGGAAUACCAGUGGCGAAGGCGGCCUUCUGGACUGACACUGACACUGAGGUGCGAAAGCGUGGGUAGCAAACAGGAUUAGAUACCCUAGUAGUC